rnacentral:rRNA from 1 species
GCAGCCGCGGUAAUACGUAGGGUGCGAGCGUUAAUCGGAAUUACUGGGCGUAAAGCGUGCGCAGGCGGUUAUGUAAGACAGAUGUGAAAUCCCCGGGCUCAACCUGGGAACUGCAUUUGUGACUGCAUGACUGGAGUGCGGCAGAGGGGGAUGGAAUUCCGCGUGUAGCAGUGAAAUGCGUAGAUAUGCGGAGGAACACCGAUGGCGAAGGCAAUCCCCUGGGCCUGCACUGACGCUCAUGCACGAAAGCGUGGGGAGCAAACAGGAUUAGAUACCCUGGUAGUCCACGCCCUAAACGAUGUCAACUGGUUGUUGGACGGCUUGCUGUUCAGUAACGAAGCUAACGCGUGAAGUUGACCGCCUGGGGAGUACGGCCGCAAGGUUGAAACCCAAAGGAGUUGACGGGGACCCGCACAAGCGGUGGAUGAUGUGGUUUAAUUCGAUGCAACGCGAAAAACCUUACCUACCCUUGACAUGCCAGGAACUUGCCAGAGAUGGCUUGGUGCUCGAAAGAGAGCCUGAACACAGGUGCUGCAUGGCCGUCGUCAGCUCGUGUCGUGAGAUGUUGGGUUAAGUCCCGCAACGAGCGCAACCCUUGUCAUUAGUUGCUACGAAAGGGCACUCUAAUGAGACUGCCGGUGACAAACCGGAGGAAGGUGGGGAUGACGUCAGGUCCUCAUGGCCCUUAUGGGUAGGGCUACACACGUCAUACAAUGGCCGGUGCAGAGGGCUGCCAACCCGCGAGGGGGAGCCAAUCCCAGAAAACCGGUCGUAGUCCGGAUCGCAGUCUGCAACUCGACUGCGUGAAGUCGGAAUCGCUAGUAAUCGCGGAUCAGCUUGCCGCGGUGAAUACGUUCCCGGGUCUUGUACACACCGCCCGUCACACCAUGGG